rnacentral:ribozyme from 13 species
AAGAAACAAGGAAACAGCAAACACAAGGUCGACAAGAAUCAAAAAAAGAACAAAACAAACAUAUCUGUUUCUUAUUUUUAUGGAGUGUCUGUAUCUCUCUCUCAGUGACCUUUCAAACUGGUGGAUGUCUUUCAAUUGCCUCUUUUUGUCAAUGGGGGGACGGUCAG